UUCUUCCUGGUUCAUAAGUGUCAUGUUAGAGUACUCAUACCAUUUUGUGAUAUCUGCCUCCCUCAAAUUUGUUGUAACAUCAGAAUAUUAUGCCUCUGGCA